rnacentral:lncRNA from 1 species
GUGUUCAACUCGUGACCGGAGCGUCGCCCUAGUAGCGGUGGUGUUGCAGGAGGCGUGGCUCCUGUGUCAGCCUCCAACUUGGUCGUGUCCCCUUUCUGGCUCACCCUAUCUCUCUCUGACUAGAGAUUGCAGCAGUUUGAUCUGAGACUCACCCAGAAAUCUGGUCUAAGUGCAACUUCAGGGAAGUUCCUGGUGCUGUCGGGGUAAGUUCUGUGGAAAGGUAUUUUAAGAGAGGCCAUGCCCUGUGCUGCAAAGAGCUGCCAAAGAGGCCUGGCUCAGACUACAUUGGAUCACUUCACCUCAGUGGACCUGAGUUUCCUCAGGAAAGGAUAGGAUUAGAUAAGAGUAGGUGGUGUCCAAGUUCUCCAAGAGCUAUGGGUUUUGUUUGUUUGGUUUUUGGUUUUUUGUUUUUUUCAACAACGGGUGGUUUUCCUUCAUUUUCUUUUGAGACAGAGGAGGGUCAUCACAUGUAGCUGAGAUUAGCCUGGAACUCACAGUGUAGCUGAAGUGAUCUUUGAGCUGUUGGCUCACAAAACUGCCCGUAACUCCAGCACCUGGGGAACCUGAUACCAUUUUCUGGCGUCCGUGAGGAACUGCACACACAUCACACACUCACACACAUAUACAUACUAAUAAGAUUAAAUAAAAGUCUUUUUUAAAAGAGGCUCUAAGAGAAGGGUAGUAGCACACACCCUAGAGUGGGCUUGCACUUCUCAACAGUGUCUGCAAGACCUGUUUCUGUUUCUGCACUAGGAAUGUGAGGGUCUGAAUAGAUCAUGAGGAGACAUAGCAUGUGGCCAUCCAGCCCUCAGAUUCUUGGCUCCACCACCAUUCCUCUCUGCACGAAGCCUUUUGAUAGUAUCCUUUCCUGAGGUCUAGUGACAUACCAAACGAAAGGAAUUCUGAGGCUUUUCAUGUGAGUGUUGAUUAGUAUCAUAAGGGCCAGUGGUAGAAAGAUUUGUUCAACUCCUAAAGCAGUCACUGGCAAAGGGCACAGGACAUGUGGCCUUUAUCCUGGCAACUGAGGUAGGAUGGUUGCCUUGAGUCCCUGGAUGUCCAGUGUUACAGAGUGAGAAUAACCC